CAGUCGCCGCGGUAAUACGAAGGGUGCAAGCGUUAAUCGGAAUUACUGGGCGUAAAGCGUGCGUAGGCGGUGAGUUAAGUCUGCUGUGAAAUCCCCGGGCUCAACCUGGGAAUGGCAGUGGAUACUGGCUCGCUAGAGUGUGUCAGAGGAUGGUGGAAUUCCCGGUGUAGCGGUGAAAUGCGUAGAGAUCGGGGGGAACAUCAGUGGCGAAGGCGGCCAUCUGGGACAACACUGACGCUGAGGCACGAAAGCGUGGGGAGCAAACAGGAUUAGAUACCCCUGUAGUCCCUGUCUCUUAUAC
rnacentral:rRNA from 1 species